rnacentral:miRNA from 1 species
GUUGACACAUCCCGGCCAAUCUCCAGCAGACCCUCCCUCCCAGACCCUCACACCUCCUGGACAGCAUCCAUGUUGAAGCUGCCUUCAACAUGGAUGCUGUCCAGGAGAUGGGAGGGUCUAGGAGGGAGGGUCUGCUGGAGAUUGGCCAGGAUGUGUCAG